AUCCUGGCUAAUACGGUAAAACCCCGUCACUACUAAAAAUACAAAAAAAAAAAUUAGCCGAGCUUGGUGGCAGGCACCUGUAGUCCCAGCUACUCGGGAGGCUUAGGCAGAAUGGCGAGAACCCGGGAGGCAGAGCUUGCAGUGAGCCAAGAUCGCGCCACUGCACUCCAGCCUGGGUGACAGAGUGAGACUCCAUCUCAAAAACAAAACAAAACAAAAAAAACCAGGAGCAACUACAACAUACAACAUCACUAAUCAUCAGGGAAAUGCAAAUUAAAACUACAGUGAGACACUACCUUACUCCUGUAAGAAUGGCCAUAAUGAAUAAGUAAAAAAAAAAAACAAUAGAUGUUGGUGUGGAUGUGGUGAAAAGGGAACAUUUUUCCACUGAUGGUGGGAAUGUAAAUUAGUACAACCACUAUGGAAAACAGUAUGGAAACUCCUUAAAGAACGAAAAGCAGAACUACCAUUCAAUCCAGCAAACCCACUACUGGGUAUCUUCCCAAAGGAAAUGAAAUCAGCCAGGUGUGGUGGCUCACGCCUGUAAUCCCAGCGCUUUGGGAAGCCAAGGCGUGUGGAUCACCUGAGGUCAGGAGUUUGAGACCAGCGUGGCCAACAUGGUGAAACCGUGUCUCUACUAAAAUACAAAAAUUAGCCGGGCCUGGUGGCAGGUGCCUGUAAUCCCAGCUACAGGGGAGGCUGAGGCAGGAGAAUCAUUUGAACCUGGGAGGUGGAGGUUGCAGUGAGCUGAGAUUGUACCACUGCACUCCAGCCUGGGCAACAGAUUGAGACUGUGUCUCAAAGCAAAAAAAAAAAAAUCAUUAUAUGAAAAAGAUACAUCCACAAAUGUUUAUAGCAGCACAAUUCGCAAUUGCAGAUAUGGAGCCAAUCUAAAUGACCAUUGACCAAUGAGUGGAUAAAAAAAAAUGUGGCAUAUAUACACCAUGGUAUACUACUCAGCCGUAAAAAGGAAUGAAAUAAUGUCUUUUGCAGAAACUUAGAGCUAGAGGCCAUUAUUCUAAGUGAAGUAACUCAGGGAUGGAAAACCAAAUAUUGUAUGGUCUCACUUAAAAGUGGGGCUAAGCUAUGAGGACACAAAGGCAUAAGAGUAAUAUAAUGGACUUUGGGGAGUAAGGGGGAAAGGUUGGGGGGUGGAUAAAAGACUACAUGUUGGAGGUGAAACCCCGUCUCUACUGAAAAUACAAAAAUUAGCUGGGUGUGGUGGUACGAGCCUGUAAUCCCAGCUACUCGGGAGGCUGGGGCAGGAGAAUCGCUUGAAUCUGGGAGGCGGAAGUUGCAGUGAGCCGAGAUCGUGCCGCUACACUCCAGCCUGGGCUGGGCAACAGAGUGAGACUCCGUCUCAAAAAAACAAACAAAAAAACCUACAUAUUGGGUACAGUGCAAGAUGCUUGGGUGAUGGGUGCACUGAAAUCACCACUAAAGAACUAGUUUCCCAAAAACUAUUGAAAAAAAAAGUGGCAGCUAAAUUAGGCCCUAAAGAAUGGUUAGGAUUUUCACAUGUAAAGAUUACAGGCCGGGCAUGGUGUCUCACGCCUGCCAUUUUAGCACUUUGGGAAGCCAAGGCAGGAGGACUGCUUGAGCCCAGAAGUUCGAGACCAGCUUGGGCAACAUGGCAAAACUUCGUCUCUACAAAAAAUACAAAGAAUUAGUCAGGCGUGGUAGUGUGCACCUGUAGUUCCAGCUACUCAGGAGGCUGAGGUGGGAGGAUCACCUGAGCCCCAGGAGGUCAAGGCUGCAGUGGGCUGAAAUCACGCCACUAUACUCUAGCCUGAGCAACAGAGGGAGACCCUAUCUCGAAAAACAACAACAACAACAAACAUUACAGAUAGGAAGGCAUUCCAGAUGGAGGUAACUGUACAGAAGUAUGGAGGUUGAAAGAAAGCACUAUGUCUAAAGCAGGGUUUCUCAAUCUCAGCACCGCUACCAUUUUGGGCCUGAUAAUUCUGUUGUGGGGGGAAGGGGGGGUUUGCCUGCACAUUUCUGUACACUGUAGGAGGUUCAGCAGUAUACCUGGCCUCUACCCACUAGAUGUCAAGCAGUAGCCCCCAGGUUGUAACCACCAAAAAAGUCUGUAGACAUUGUCAGAUGUCCCCUGGUGAGUGGCGGUACAGGGCAAUAUCUCCUCUGACUGAGAACCUCUGGCCUUUCUAGGAAAGAAAUUAAAAUAUAUUUGUUGUCAUGUCAAAAGAAGUGUAAAGAGGCUACUACUUGCUCUAUGUAUAAUGCAAAGGAUACCUAGUCAAGUUCUUUCUUGGAGGAAAUAACUAUCAGAAAGCCACAGCAGUACAUGAUUUUAUGAAUGAAAUCAAUGUCUCUAUGACUCUUCUGAGGGAAGCUAAAACAAUUCUUAUUCUGGAAAACCCUGUAUAGUCAAGAGAGUUAAGCAAAACACACAACACAUUACAAGCUUUUAUGUAAAAGUAAUUUUACCUUGUCUUGCUGUGUAUUCAUUGUCUUCAAUUAACCUUGCUAAACCAAAGUCUGCUAUUUUGCACACAAGAUUUUCUCCUACAAGAAUAUUAGCAGCCCGAAGAUCUCGGUGAAUAUAGUUCAUUCUUUCAAUAUAUGCCAUACCAUCAGCAAUCUUGGAAAGAGAAAAACAAAAAACACAAGACAUACGAUACAAAGGGAAGCAGAGAGAAGACAAUUAUGGUUAAUAUCAAAUUGUGUCACUGAAAAUCAUAUUAUUUUAGAAGGAGAUGAUGGUAACAGGGUAUAGUCUAGAAGAUAACAGGAAAACCAGAAAACAUAAUAAAAAUGCAGGCUAAAUUCAGAUUUCAAAAAUCUAACACUGGCUGGGUGCGGUGGCCCACACCUAUAAUCCCAUUAAUUUGGGAGGCCGAGGCAGGUGGAUCAUUUGAGGUCAUGAGUUCGAGAUCAGCCUGGCCAACACGGUGAAACCCUGUCUCUAUUAAAAAUACAAACAUUAGCUGGGUGUGGUGGCACAUACCUGUAGUCCCAGCUACUUGGGAGGCUGAGGCAGGAAAAUCACUUGAACCCAGGAGGCAAAGGUUGCAGUGAGCCAAGAUUGUGCCACUGCACUCCAGCCUGGGAAACAGAGCGAGACUCAGCCUCAAAAAAAAUAAAACCUAACAUUACUCUGAAGACCAAGAUUAACCCUCCUAAUGUCUUCUUGUGUCUGUGGUUAGGAGAAGAGGUAAAUCACAAGGUAAUUUAGUACCUCUGGAUACAAGCUCAUCAAGGUCUCUAUCAGGCACAACCUAAGAUGACAUGGUGAUAAAGGUAUUAACCACAAGGUAUAGGUUCCCAAACUACAGCUUGUAGGCCAAAAGUGGCCUGCAGCCUGUUUUUGCACAGCCAGAGAACUAAAACUGUUUUUUACAUUUUGAUUGAUUGACUGAGACGGGGUCUCACUCUGUCACGCAGGUUGGCGUGCAGUGGUGCAAUCGUGGCUCACUGCAAUCUCUAUCUUCUGGGCUCAAGCAAUUUUCCCACCUCAGCCUAGUGAGUAGCUGGGACUUAGGCAUGCGACACCACACCCAGCUAAUGUUUGUAUUUUUUUGUAGAGAUGGGGUUUCACUAUGUUGCCCAGGCCCCGCAAAGCGAGAUUAUAGGAGCCAUCUCGCACAGCCUGGUUUUUACAUUUUUAAAGGGUUGUAAAAAGAAAAAAGUAUGACAGAUUGGAUGUGGCUCACAAAACCUAAUUUUUUUUUUUUUUUAAAAAACAAAAAUGGAUUGCCAACCUCCCCUACCAUAGAGUGUCUAACUCAGAAGCAUGAACUGGCG
rnacentral:lncRNA from 10 species